rnacentral:rRNA from 1 species
GACGAACGCUGGCGGCGUGCUUAACACAUGCAAGUCGAGCGGUAAGGCCCUUUCGGGGGUACACGAGCGGCGAACGGGUGAGUAACACGUGGGUGACCUGCCCUCAGCUCUGGGAUAAGCCUGGGAAACUGGGUCUAAUACUGGAUAUGACUCCACGGUGCAUGUCGUGGGGUGGAAAGCCUUGUGCGGCUGAGGAUGGGGCCCCGCGG